UACGUAGGGUGCGAGCGUUAAUCGGAAUUACUGGGCGUAAAGCGUGCGCAGGCGGUUCGUUGUGUCGGCGGUGAAAGCCCCGGGCUCAACCUGGGAAUGGCCGUUGAAACUGGCGAACUGGAGUGUGGCAGAGGGGGGUGGAAUUCCGCGUGUAGCAGUGAAAUGCGUAGAGAUGCGGAGGAACACCGAUGGCGAAGGCACUUUACUGGGCUAUUACUAACACUCAGAGACGAAAGCUAGGGUAGCAAAUGGG
rnacentral:rRNA from 1 species